rnacentral:rRNA from 1 species
UAGGGAAUCUUCGGCAAUGGGGGCAACCCUGACCGAGCAACGCCGCGUGAGUGAAGAAGGUUUUCGGAUCGUAAAGCUCUGUUGUAAGAGAAGAACGUGUGUGAGAGUGGAAAGUUCACACAGUGACGGUAACUUACCAGAAAGGGACGGCUAACUACGUGCCAGCAGCCGCGGUAAUACGUAGGUCCCGAGCGUUGUCCGGAUUUAUUGGGCGUAAAGCGAGCGCAGGCGGUUUAAUAAGUCUGAAGUUAAAGGCAGUGGCUUAACCAUUGUUCGCUUUGGAAACUGUUAAACUUGAGUGCAGAAGGGGAGAGUGGAAUUCCAUGUGUAGCGGUGAAAUGCGUAGAUAUAUGGGGGGACACCGGUGGCGAAAGCGGCUCUCUGGCCUGUAACUGACGCUGAGGCUCGAAAGCGUGGGGAGCAAACAGG